CGGCGACCCCGAUCCUCUCCUCACCCGAACCUUCUCCUCCUUCCCCGAUCUCCCCUCUCUUCUUCUCUGUGCUCUCCCUCUCUUGCGGAUCACUCGGCGUCGAGGCCGAAGGAGACUCUUCAUCGGAGCUCGACGGUGCUAAGGAGCUGGAUCCGAUCGGGGGUCCUGAUCCGGUGAGUUCUGCAGCUGAGCGUCAACGGCGAGGUGGCUAGGGCACGGUGAGGAGCAAUAUUCACCGACUCCCAACCGAUCGACCUCCGUUCUUCUCUCCUCGCGCUGCUCAUAGUGCGAUCCACCUCUUCACUAGCCGGAUCUGGAUCGAGCCGUGCCACCCGACCGCCGGCGUGAAAGGGGCAGUUAGGGCUCCAAAGUUCUGGGCUAGGAGAAAGCAUCGGAUUUCUGUGGAUUGUCCUUGUGGCCGAUCAAUGCAUUCUCCUUUGUGAUCCAAUUGAAUCCAUUGAGGUGAGGUUCUGUUCUAUUCUGUGGUGUUGAUUCUUGAUCGCUUUGAGAUGUUUACUGCAUCAGAUCAGUUCUGGGAUGUUUCCUUCUUUGCUGUGAUUGAGGUUUCGGUUGAAUUCUUGAUCCGAAUUGUGGAGUGGAUCCAGCAAGGUGCUGUUCAGUGGGUUGUCUAGCUCCAGCAACAGCUACCCUUCCUGGUAGCACCACUUCUUCGUGUGGAUCAACAGAUCAGAGUUAGGAAUUAAGAGGAGUGAAUUCCAAAUAGGUUCUGUUCUGUCCUGUUUUGUGGAUUGGUUGGCUUCAGCAGUAACUCAUCUUGGUCUCGGCAGCAACAAUCCUCUUGUCCCAAUAGCCACAGUAGCUGUGGAAUUGAGGUAUGGUUUUUGAUCUUGCUGUAGGUUAGUUAAUUUAGGUUUAUGAUUUGGAUUAGGGUAAUUGUUUCAUGUGUUGAUGAAUUAGUCUAUGUAUUGAAUAGGGUUAGGUUUGAAUUGAAUUUUGGUUAGAACAUGUUGUAUAUCAUGUUUCGAAUUUGGAUAUUUGUUAGGUGAUCAUGUGUUAGAUGAUUAGGAAUGAUC